rnacentral:rRNA from 1 species
AGUGAACGCUGGCGGUAGGCCUAACACAUGCAAGUCGAACGGCACCACAGUGAGAGCUUGCUCUUACGGGUGGCGAGUGGCGGACGGGUGAGGAAUACAUCGGAAUCUACUUUUUCGUGGGGGAUAACGUAGGGAAACUUACGCUAAUACCGCAUACGACCUACGGGUGAAAGCAGGGGAUCUUCGGACCUUGCGCGAUUGAAUGAGCCGAUGUCGGAUUAGCUAGUUGGCGGGGUAAAGGCCCACCAAGGCGACGAUCCGUAGCUGGUCUGAGAGGAUGAUCAGCCACACUGGAACUGAGACACGGUCCAGACUCCUACGGGAGGCAGCAGUGGGGAAUAUUGGACAAUGGGCGCAAGCCUGAUCCAGCCAUACCGCGUGGGUGAAGAAGGCCUUCGGGUUGUAAAGCCCUUUUGUUGGGAAAGAAAAGCAGCAGGUUAAUACCCCGCUGUUCUGACGGUACCCAAAGAAUAAGCACCGGCUAACUUCGUG